rnacentral:rRNA from 1 species
UACGUAGGGGGCAAGCGUUGUCCGGAUUUAUUGGGCGUAAAGAGCUCGUAGGCGGUUCGGUAAGUCGGGUGUGAAACCUCCAGGCUCAACCUGGAGACGCCACCCGAUACUGCUGUGACUAGAGUCCGGUAGGGGAGCGUGGAAUUCCUGGUGUAGCGGUGAAAUGCGCAGAUAUCAGGAGGAACACCAGCGGCGAAGGCGGCGCUCUGGGCCGGAACUGACGCUGAGGAGCGAAAGCGUGGGGAGCAAACAGG